CCUACGGGUUGCAGCAGUGGGGAAUAUUGGACAAUGGGCGAAAGCCUGAUCCAGCCAUGCCGCGUGUGUGAAGAAGGCCUUCGGGUUGUAAAGCACUUUCAGUGGGGAAGAAAGCCUUGGGGCUAAUACCCUCGAGGAAGGACAUCACCCACAGAAGAAGCACCGGCUAACUCCGUGCCAGCAGCCGCGGUAAUACGGAGGGUGCGAGCGUUAAUCGGAAUUACUGGGCGUAAAGCGCGCGUAGGCGGUCUGAUAAGCCGGUUGUGAAAGCCCCGGGCUCAACCUGGGAACGGCAUCCGGAACUGUCAGGCUAGAGUGCAGGAGAGGAAGGUAGAAUUCCCGGUGUAGCGGUGAAAUGCGUAGAGAUCGGGAGGAAUACCAGUGGCGAAGGCGGCCUUCUGGACUGACACUGACGCUGAGGUGCGAAAGCGUGGGUAGCAAACAGGAUUAGAUACCCCGGUAGUC
rnacentral:rRNA from 1 species